GACGGACAGACAGUCAGCGCAGUCACCCAUAAAGUAGAAAGCACUUCUUACAGCAAUGGAGGGUGUAGUGUUUCCUACUUUAUGGAUGAGUGUACUGUGGGCUUCGGAG
rnacentral:pre_miRNA from 1 species